rnacentral:rRNA from 1 species
AUUGAACGCUGGCGGCAUGCCUUACACAUGCAAGUCGAACGGCAGCACGGGAGCAAUCCUGGUGGCGAGUGGCGAACGGGUGAGUAAAGUAUCGGAACGUGCCCAGUCGUGGGGGAUAACGUAGCGAAAGUUACGCUAAUACCGCAUACGAUCUAUGGAUGAAAGCGGGGGAUCGCAAGACCUCGCGCGAUUGGAGCGGCCGGUAUCAGAUUAGGUAGUUGGUGGGGUAAGGCUCACCAAGCCGACGAUCUGUAGCUGGUCUGAGAGGACGACCAGCCACACUGGGACUGGGACACGGCGCAGACUCCUACGGGAGGCAGCAGUGGGGAAUUUUGGACAAUGGGCGCAAGCCUGAUCCAGCCAUGCCGCGUGCAGGAUGAAGGCCUUCGGGUUGUAAACUGCUUUUGUACGGAACGAAAAGGUUUGACUUAAUACGUUGGACUCAUGACGGUACCGUAAGAAUAAGCACCGGCUAACUACGUGCCAGCCGCCGCCGUAA